AGAAUCAACGCUGGCGGCGUGCCUAACACAUGCAAGUCGAACGAGAAAGGGUAGCAAUACCUGAGUAAAGUGGCGCACGGGUGAGUAACACGUGACUAACCUACCUUUUAGUGGGGGGAUAACCUAGGGAAACCUGGGCUAAUACCGCAUAAUACCUACGGGUCAAAGCAGCAAUGCGCUGAAAGAGGGGGUCGCGGUCGAUUAGUUAGUUGGCAGGGUAAUGGCCUACCAAGACUGUGAUCGAUAUCCGGCCUGAGAGGGCGCACGGACACACUGGAACUGAAACACGGUCCAGACUCCUACGGGAGGCAGCAGUGGGAAUUUGCGCAAUGGGGGAAACCCUGACGCAGCAACGCCGCGUGGAGGAUGAAGUCCCUUGGGACGUAAACUCCUUUCGAUCGGGACGAUAAUGACGGUACCGGAAGAAGAAGCCCCGGCUAACUUCGUGCCAGCAGCCGC
rnacentral:rRNA from 1 species